CGAGCGCUAAAAGAGUACAAACUCUACAGCCUGAAUGCGUGAAGUAUUGAUGCGAUUUGGAUAUCAUCCACUAUGUUGUCAUUAUCAUGUGACCUACGAUGUUAAAACAAGCACAACAACUUAAAAGAUAUGAGUGACAGGUUUAAUUAAUCUAACUGUAAUCUUAUGUAACCGGGUGGUAUUAGCGUGUGGGAUACGCAAGGAGUGCACUUCCCCUUUAAGAGAGCGGCUGCAAAUGAUGACGCACUAAGAGUGCGAUAUAGAGACAGACCGUUUAAGCAGUGCAGGAGAGAAGGCAAUAGUGUAUCAUCCUAGGGGAUUUGGAUGAACGGAGAUUGUGUGAUAUUGCACGUGACAAGUGUUCCGGAUUCUCAGAAUUCGGAAACGUUGAUCAGCUGGCAAGAAGAUCUUGCCUUUGGAGAAGACUGUUGAUUUUAUACUCUAAAAAUAUGGUGAACCCACAUCCUACUGCCAUCUCAACACAGCUGUGCCAAUUCUGCAGCUGCGCUGUGCUUCACAAUCUCACUAUUCUCAAUGGGGACAUUGUUGAGCAAGAGGAUGAGGAAGACCAUGACGACCCCUCUCUGAACCACACAACCUUGAAGCAAGUGCAGGGAACACGUGCGGGACAAUCUGGCUGCUGCUGUGUCUGCUCCAAACAUUUGUGUGCCUGCUCUCCAUGAGCAUGACUACACUCUAAAAAAUGCUGGGUUAAAUAUAACCCAACGCUGGGUUAAAAAGGGACCAACCCAACAGUUGGGUUUUUUUGACCCAGCAGUUGGCAGAGGUAUAAAGUCCAGGGGUCAGAAAGUAAAAGUCCUGCCAUAUGUUUAUUCCACCCAUGAACUCAGCAAGCUGUUUUAACCAGAGGAGAACCAAGUCAUUCCUUUCACAUC
ensembl:lncRNA